rnacentral:misc_RNA from 1 species
GCAAACUUGGUCAUUUAGAGGAAGUAAAAGUCGUAACAAGGUCUCCGUAGGUGAACCUGCGGAGGGAUCAUUACAGAGUUCAUGCCCUUCCGGGUAGAUCUCCCACCCUGUGCUAUCAUUACCUUUGUUGCUUUGGCGGGCCGUCAGGCCUCGGUCAGGCUACCGGCUUCGGCUGGUAAGCGCCCGCCAGAGAACCCCAAACUCUGAAUGUUAGUGUCGUCUGAGUACUAUAUUUAAUAGUUAAAACUUUCAACAACGGAUCUCUUGGUUCUGGCAUCGAUGAAGAACGCAGC